rnacentral:lncRNA from 1 species
GAUGGGCUUUUAUUUUUUAAGGGGGGAGGUCUUCAGGCAAUGGCAGCACCCCCUUUUUGCUGUCUACCAAGGAGAGCUGCAAGAGAAAGAAAGAGAGGGGAGCGAAAUUCCUGAAUGGAUAGACAGAUGCUACGUCAUCAGGGCUGCAGCCUCUACUCCACAAGAGGCUAGGAGCUGGGGGGGAGAGAAGCAGACCAGCCGUGGGGGCCUGAGAGACAGACACCUCCUCUUCACAGGAACUGGGGGACCAACACCCAGAUGAAGCAACCAUAUUUGUUUCUGGUACCAUUGUAGGCGGCUCUCCAGCUGGGCUUCCUAUUUGAUUUGGUCUUGGCAUUCCUCUUCCUUCUCUUCAUUCUGCAGCACAACUCAGCACGUUUGAUAUUGGUAUUCAGCACAUUGGACAGCGCCAGGAUGAGAAUCAUCCCUGUAACAAAGAUUUUAAAAGGAAGAAGAGGAAUAAAAAUCAGUUAAUCAAAGCCAGCCUUCACAUCUGUUCUGACAUUAUGUGCAAUACUCCAUAUCCAUGGUAUUCUACUUCUACAAAAAAAAGGGAACAGAACAAUAAGAGGACUUAAAGGACAAGGGGCCAAUAGCAUACAGAGGGAGAAGCCUUAACACAAUUGGCCUCCAUGUACCUGAAGCAGCCUUCCAGGAUUGACUGGAGGACAGAUAACGCCAGCUACUAAUCCCAGGGAGAGAGAAAGUGAAGAGAUCUUCCUGUCACCCUCUCCACUGAUAUCCACCCUCCUCCAGGAAGUUUGUCAGGAUUCAUAGAGCAUCAGCCCUUGAAUUGCCUGGUUCCUGUCCGGGAUAAAAGUAUUUGACCUUCAUGUAUACUUAUUGUGUAUCUAAGUUAUAUUUUAAUAUAUUUAACAUCUACUGGUCAUCCUGCCAUCUAGGGGAGGGGGGGGGUAAGAGGUGAAAAAUUGGAACAAGAGGUUUGGCAAUUGUUAAUCCUGUAAAGUUACCCAUGUAUAUAUCCUGUAAAUAAAAGGCUAUUAAAUUUAAAAAAAAAAAAAGUAUUUGACCUUAACACAUCUCAUCUCUGUGUAUUUUUACUAGCCUGGGAGCCCCAUGGGGGCAGGACCUGAGUCUGUGUUGAAUAAAAGCUCUUAGAUCCUGA